GACGAAAUUCAACAGAGGUUAUCAAAGAGAAUAAUAAAAUACCAAAGUUUAAAGAGAGCACUAUCAAAACAGAAAAGACAGAAAUUUAACUAAUGGAAAGAAGAAAGGACAGAGAGGAGCAUAUUAACACUUCCAGAAUAAGAAGCGGGAAUACGACAUAGUGUAUGAGACUGUGCAAUUGAG